CUGGAAAACAAUCAUCCCUGAUGUUGAUACUACUAUUUCUCUCAUUGACAGCACUGGCUCACCAGUAGGCGUAUCCGACGUACCCCAUGUCUUGAACCAUGCAUUCUCAUCAGUCUUUACUAAGGAAACAACUCGUGAUUUCACUGAUCCUGCGCCUUUGCCGCAUCCACCAAUGGACGGCAUCACCUUCAACGCACAUGUCGCUUGAUACAGGCACAGUUCCACAUGACUGGCGAAUUGGGAAGGUCAUUCCGGUUUUCAAGAAAGGUGACAGAUCAUCCCCACGUUUUUCCAUUGCUCGCCCCGUGACAGCAACCUCAUCCUACCAGUACGUCGAACACCCCGCACAGGCCAUCCAAACAGCGUCAUCCCGCAUCGUUCCCGAACAACUACAUUUCAGAAAUCAUUUUUUGUCCACACAGCUCGCGACUGGAAUGACCUUCCCUGUCACUUAGCACAAAUCCCUGAUCCAGUCCAUUUCAAGACUGCCAUCGAGGAAGCCAUG